rnacentral:lncRNA from 1 species
UACCUGCCUCCCCGUCGUGCUAUCGUACGCCACCUGUGUAUAUGGUGUUGUGUCGGCGUACGUCGCCACGUAUUUUGGCGGCUGUGGCGGGAGAGUAGUCGGCUGCUGCUGCUGCUGCUGCGGUUGUGGCACUACAUUGUACAUCGGCGGCUGUUCCCGGUAAAUCUCAGACCCCAUUCGCUGCUGCACUUGGUAAUACCCUUGACCCGGUGGCCCGGUUACCGGUCGCACCAUCGGUGGCUGUGCGUGGUACACUGCCCCACCUCCGGGAGCGGAUGUAAACAUGUACAUCGGCUGUUCCGGAGCUCCCGUCCCCGGAAACCCCCCGCUUGUAACCUGCUUCUCCGGCCAGUAGCCAGCUGGCGGGGCA